rnacentral:rRNA from 1 species
AACGAACGCUGGCGGCAGGCUUAACACAUGCAAGUCGAGCGAGACCUUCGGGUCUAGCGGCGGACGGGUGAGUAACGCGUGGGAACGUGCCCUUCUCUACGGAAUAGCCCCGGGAAACUGGGAGUAAUACCGUAUACGCCCUUUGGGGGAAAGAUUUAUCGGAGAAGGAUCGGCCCGCGUUGGAUUAGGUAGUUGGUGGGGUAAUGGCCCACCAAGCCGACGAUCCAUAGCUGGUUUGAGAGGAUGAUCAGCCACACUGGGACUGAGACACGGCCCAGACUCCGACGGGAGGCAGCAGUGGGGAAUUUUAAACAGGGGGGGCAACCCUGAUCUACCCAGGCCGGGUGAGUUAAUAAGGCUUUGGGUUUGGAAAGCUCUUUCAGCUGGGAAGAUAAGGAGGGAACCAGCAGAAGAAGCCCCGGCUAACCCCGU